AUAUCUUUCUCGGUCUUUUGGCUAAGAUCAAGUGUAGUAUCUAUUCUUAUCAUUUUAAUAUCCGAUAUGUGGGCUAUACGUCCACAAUGAUAUUAAAUUUAUUCUUUAUGGGGAGGGCCCAUCACACUAGCUUGCUAGUGGGGCCCUUACGUGUCGCCUGAGCGUCGCACUACUGCCCAGGCCAGGCGCACCCCAA
rfam:Triticum aestivum genome assembly, contig: Triticum_aestivum_CS42_TGACv1_scaffold_513490_6BS